rnacentral:rRNA from 1 species
GAUGAACGCUGGCGGCGUGCCUAAUACAUGCAAGUCGAGCGAACAGACGAGGAGCUUGCUCCUCUGACGUUAGCGGCGGACGGGUGAGUAACACGUGGAUAACCUACCUAUAAGACUGGGAUAACUUCGGGAAACCGGAGCUAAUACCGGAUAAUAUAUUGAACCGCAUGGUUCAAUAGUGAAAGACGGUUUUGCUGUCACUUAUAGAUGGAUCCGCGCCGCAUUAGCUAGUUGGUAAGGUAACGGCUUACCAAGGCAACGAUGCGUAGCCGACCUGAGAGGGUGAUCGGCCACACUGGAACUGAGACACGGUCCAGACUCCUACGGGAGGCAGCAGUGGGGAAUCUUCCGCAAUGGGCGAAAGCCUGACGGAGCAACGCCGCGUGAGUGAUGAAGGUCUUCGGAUCGUAAAACUCUGUUAGUAGGGAAGAACAAAAGUGAAAGUAAAUAUGCCCGUCUUGACGGUACCUAAUCAGAAAGCCCCGGCUAACUACGUG